GAAAAAAAAAGGAGAAAAAAAGAGACUCUGGAGCUCCCGUCGCCUGUCAGUUCCGGCUUCCACCACCAGCGGCGCAUGCGUGCUCUCCGUUUCCCCGGCCACCCCCCUCGAAUCGCCGGCGACCCCUAACCCUAGCCCCACUGCCACUAUCGCCUUGCGCCCCCUUCUCCCGCCGGGAGCCGCUCCCCUCCUUCACCGUCGCGCCGCCGUGCCUAACCAGCGAGGUUGGUCCAUGUCGGGGUCUCCUGUUGUUUCCCCUUUCAUUUCCCAAACCCCUUCCACCGACCAUUCGUCCCCUCUUCCUCCCACAUUGCGCGAAGCAGAUAUGUCCCACCAGUCAGACACAUCAUCCUGCUCCGAUGAUUCUGAUGACAGCACUACCAUUGACCCAACCGGCAUAUACACUAUGGAAGAUUUGAUUUCUGAACAAAGCAUCUUCCAUAAUUUGCUUGAGCAGAUCAAUGGGAAGAUCCAGGCCAAAAUUAAACCUCAGCAAGCUGGUGCAUCUCGCCGCGGGAGUAGGAAGUACAUAGUGAGAAAUCGUGAAGAGGGCCAUGAACAACUUGUGGCUGAUUACUUCGCUGAGCAUCCAAUCUACACUGAUGAUCAGUUCCGUACAAGGUACAGGAUGAGAAGACCCCUCUUUCUACGUAUAGUGCGUGCCUUGGGAGAGUGGUCUCCCUAUUUCACAGAAAGGAGAGAUGGCCUUAAUCGUCAAGGACUCACACCUCUACAGAAGUGCACAGUAGCUAUUCGUAUAUUAGCAUUGGGUUCCCCCUCUGGCGCCACUGACAAAUAUGUAGAAAUUGGUUUCAGCACAGUAAUGAACUGUUUGGAGCAGUUUGUGGACGGGGUGAUCAACAUGUUCGGUGAAGAAUACUUGAGGAGCCCCACUAGUGUUGAUGUGCAGCGUCUUCUACAAAUGGGUGAGACCCGUGGGUUCCCUGGCAUGCUGGGAAGCAUUGGCUGUAUGCACUGGGAGUGGAAAAAAUGCCCAGUUAAAUGGGUGCGUCAUCUUACUCACAGUGAUCAAGCUGUUGUUAAUAUCAUUCUUGAAGCUGUUGCUUCACAAGACCUCUGGAUAUGGCAUGCUUUCUUUGGUGUUGUUGGGUCUCGUAGUGACAUUACCAUGCUGAAUCAAUCACGUUUGUUCACUGAUGUCUUGAAAGGUCAAGGUCCUCGUGUGCAAUUCUCCAUCAACAGGAGGCAGUACAGUAUGGGUUACUAUCUUGCUGAUGGUAUAUACCCAGAAUGGCCUGCCUUCAUUAAGGCGACACCCCUCCCUCAGACUGAAAAGGAUCGAUUAUUCACACGACAUCAAGGGGGAGCAAGGAAUGAUGUCCAACGAGCAUUUGGACUCCUAGAAUCACGUUUUCCCAUUGUGCGUGGCCCAACAAAAUUCUUCCAGAAGGCAACUCUAGGCAAAAUCAUGCAGGUUUGCAUCAUACUGCAUAACAUGACACUUGAGGAUGAGCAAGAUAUGGCAAGUGCUUGUUUUGACUCGAAUGAAAUUUCAGAGAAACCGGUUGCUCCACUGUCAGACGUUGAAUAUGGACCUGCUGUUCAUUUUGCUGAUUUACUUCGGAAAAAUGCUAGUAUUUGUGCAAAGUCAACAGAUAACCAACUCCGAAGGGAUUUAAUCGAGCAUGUUUGGCAGCGAUUUGGGCCAUUUGGCGACAAGUAAAACAACUAGUUCUAGUGUAAGGAAUUAUUCUACUUUGCUUUGAUCCUUUCAUUAUUGAACUCCAAAUAAUGGCAUUGCCACCCAUGUCACCCAGAUAUUUGGAUCUUGGGGCGACAUGUCGUCAUGACAUGGAGUGGGAAAGAUCGAAUUGCUAUUAUUUGGAGUGACAAAAUAUCCACAUUUCUCGUUAAUCUGAUCCGAAGGUAGUUUAAAGAUGGUUUACUAAAGGUGCCAUAGCGCAGACUUGGACUUCCAGAAUUGAAAUAUUUUUAUCAGCUUAGAACAACUCAAAAAUGACUCAUCUGCCAAUAGUUUGCUGGAAGCUCUCUUAAUCUGUUCUCCUUGAAUGUGUUUUGCUUAUCGUAGUUCUAUACAAAUUUGACCACAGGAUUGACAUUGCAGCUGAAUCAGCCGUUCCGGGGUAAGCGUGGUCCUGUUGACUACCGAGUGAUUCCUAUUCUCACGUGUAAGAAGCCAACAAGAGUUGAGUUUGAUGUGUUGGUAUUUAUUUGAACUCUCAAUUAUAUUUCAUUUUGUAUUGUCCUCUUCCAUGUGAAACCUCGGGUGUACUCCGGACGCAUUUUGUCUCGCGGCAAUCUUGCGUCAGACAUCUUGAUAUCCCAUGAAACUUGUAAGAAUUGCGAUGGUGUAUCUAGGGCACCGGGGCGUGUGGUGUACCUGUCCACCCAAUAUUGGUAGCCUUAUUGCAUGUUU